GCCGUUUCAACGCUAUGCGGAAGACUUCAAAACACGAACAGCAGACAGACCACCUCAUUACAACUGUGCAGAUCCCCCAAGUUGAACGGCAUCUGUGCACGAGGGAGAACAGACGUCAAAAGCAUUGAUAUGCAGCUCUUGACAGGGUCAGGCUUUCUGAUUUUAGUGACCUGGUUGGGAACAUUUUGCUUAGAUCCUAAUGAUGGAGGCGGUGUGCA